rnacentral:lncRNA from 1 species
ACUGGGAAUUUGGGGUUAAUAGAUGGAAACUAUUGCACUUGGAAUGGAUAGGCAAUGAGAUCCUGCUGUACAGCACUGGGACACUGGGAACUAUAUCUAGUCACUUAUGAUGGAGAAUGAUAAUGUGAGGUAAAAAAAUGUAUACAUGUAUGUGUGACUUUGCUGUAUAGUAGAAAAUUGACAGAACACUGAAAACCAGCUGUAAUGGAAAAAAAUAAAAAUCAUUUAAGAAAUAAAAUAAAAUCUUCUGCCCAUUAAAAAAACCCAUCAUAAAUGCAGUUAUAUGCCCUACUGCUGACAUUUAAAUUCCUCUUAUAAUAUGUGGCAACAUAGGAUUUUUUUGGUCCCCCCUCAUUUUUUUUUCCUUUCUAAGAAGUGUCAUUAUUCCUUUUCUAAUACCAUAACUACUGUUUCUUGAAGGAAAACUGUGAUUUGACAACAGAAACGUGUUGCUUUAAGCUGAAUGUUAUUCUAAAUGAUGUCUCUUAGGAGAGUUUGUAGGUAGGAUCUCUCUGAACAGUGCUGACAAAACCCACUCCUUAGGUCACAUGCCCAGAGCUUCAUCUUCCCCAAGGCACACAACCACACUUGUAUACCAGAUACCUCCUUGGAAGGAGGACAGUCCAACAUGUGGCUGCAUUUCCUCCAUUGAAGGGGGAGUGGUUAUGGGAUGUGACAGGUGGAAACACAACAUUCUAUUUGUUGGUACUGUGGCAAGGAGCCUGAUAAAAAUGCUCAAACGCUGCUCUGCCACUCACCACCCCCCCCCCCGUGGAGUUUUCAAGAGGAACAAUAAUAAAAGAAAGCCAAGUACCCCUUGAUUUAUUAAUGGAGACAGGGCAAGAAUCUCUGGAAAGCAGAUGCAGUACUUACCUUGGGAUCUAAGUAGGACCAUCCAUUACUAUUUCAAAUCAGAAUUUGUGGAUCUUUCCACCUCUAGCCUACAGGAAAUCAAGGCAGUGACCAAAACUCUCUGCUACAUAUGGAAAGGUGGGAAAAAAGGCAAGACAUCUGGCCCUCAAGUGGGACCCAGACUCAGCCUAGGAAUUCUGCCAUCUAGAGUAAAAGAGAAAUGGAGCAGGUGAGCUGCAUGCUCUGUCAAUAUCCAACUACGCUGCCCACCUGCAAACAUAGCCCAAUCAAUCCAAUAGAAUUCUAACCAAUCCAGGAGUUCCCGUCGUGGCGCAGUGGUUAACGAAUCCGACUAGGAACCAUGAGGUUGCGGGUUCGGUCCCUGCCCUUGCUCAGUGGGUUAACGAUCCGGCGUUGCCGUGAGCUGUGGUGUAGGUUGCAGAGGCGGCUCGGAUCCCGCGUUGCUGUGGCUCUGGCGUAGGCUGGCGGCUACCGCUCCGAUUCGGCCCCUAGCCUGGGAACCUCCAUAUGCCGCAGGAGCGGCCCAAGAAAUAGCAACAACAACAACAACCAAAAAAAAAAAAGAAUUCUAACCAAUCCAACUCUUCUUCAAAUAAGAUGAAAGAUAAAGGAAAACACAUGUGAGGGCCUAGUUAAGGCAUCCUGGUCCAUAAAAGCCUAUUAUAGUGGAUUGGAUAGUGUCCCUCUAAAAUUCAUGGUCCACCCAGAACCUCAGAAGGUGACUUUAUGUAGAAUAAGUGUCUUUGAAGGUAUAGUUAAGUUAAAGUUCUUGAGAGAUCACCCUGGAUUUAGAGUAGGUUCUAAAUGCAAUAACUGAUGUUCUUAUAAGGGAAAGGAAAGGGAGAUUUGAGAUACAUAGAGAGGAGAAACACAGGAAGGUGACGUGAAGAUGGAGACAAAGUCUGGAGUGAUGUGUCUAUAAGCCAAUGGAUGCCAAGGAUUGCCUAUAAUCACCAGAAGCUAGAAGAGCAGCAUGGGACAGAGUGUCCCUCAGAGCUUCCAGAUGGAACCAACCAUCAUGACAGCUGACUUGGGAAUUCUGGCCUACUGAACCAUGAGAGAGUACAAUUCUGUUAUUGUAAGCCACCCAGACAGUGGCGAUCUGCUAUGGCAACCCUAGGAAACCAUCAACAUUCCUCUAUUACAUGAUCGCAGAAAAUCUGUCCCAUUGGUUGGUCACAAGGGAGACUGGGCAAAAGAAGAUGAAUACAAAGUAUAAAUCAUUCACCACAACUAAGAAAUUAUAUUUAGAAUUUGAAUCCUAUUGUUGGAGGAGCAAUAAAUUCUGUACAACAAAGUAAAUCAACUACAAAAUGAAAAAGCAACCUAAUGAAUAGGAGAAAAAAUUUCAAAUCACAUAUAUCAUAAGGGGUUAAUAGCCAAAAGGGAGAAGAAUUAAAUGUGUAUGUUCAACCUGCCACAUGAUAACCAGCCUGAAAAAGAAUUUAAUGCUGUUUUUAGGGCCACACCUGCAGCAUAUGGCAGUUCCCAGGCUAGGGGUCGAAUGGGAGCUACAGCUGUCAGCUACCUGAGAUCAGAGUUGCAUCUGCAACCUACACCACAGCUCAUGGCAUCAUCACCACAACACUGGAUCCCCAAUCCACUGAGCAGGGCCAGGGAUUGAACCCAAGUCCUCAUAUAUACUAGCCGGGUUCAUUACUGCUGAGCUAUGACAGGAACUCCAGAAAAAAUAUUUUUUAAAACAGCAAUGUACAUCUUAUUUAGUUUCUUAAGUCUGGUGGUCUAAAAAUAACAAAUAAAUAUAUCAGAUAAAAUUUAGGGUUCGGGAUGUUUCAUUUUUGCUUUGAAUUAGUCAAAUACUUAAGUAGUUUUCUUUGUGCUAAAGAAAAAGUAUUAAAAUUGAACAUUAUACUUUUCACUAAAAUCAAUAGUGAUCUCAUAUAAUUCAAUAGAAAAAGUAAUAAUAAUGACUCAACUUAAAAGUGGGUAGAGAAUCCGAAUAGACAUUUUUCCAAAGAAGACACACAAAUGGCCAACAGGUACAUGAAAAGAUGUUCAACAUCACUAAAUAUCAGGGAAAUUCAAAUCAAAACCACAAUGAGAUAUCACAACUGUUAGAAUGGCUAUUAUCAAAAAACAAGAAACAUGCUGACAAGGAUAUGGAGGAAAGGGAAUUCUUGUGCACUGUUGAGGGGGAUGUAAAUUGGUGAAAACACAAUGGAAAACAUUGCGGAAGUUCCUCAAAAAAUUAAAAAUAGAACUACCAUAUGAUCCAGCAAUUCCUCUUCUAUGUAUUUACCUAAAGGAAACAAAAUCACUAUGUAGAAAAGAUGCCUGCAUCCCCAUGUUUACUGCAUCAUUAUUUACCAUAGCCAAGACAUGGAAGCAACCUAAGUAUCUAUCAAUAGAUGAGUAGUUAAAGAAAAUCUGGGAUAGGAGUUCUUGCUGUGGUGCAAAGUGAUGGUAUCUCUGCAGCAGCAGGGACAUGGAUUCCAUCCCCAGCCUGAUGCAGUAGGUUAAGAAAGGAUCCAUUUGCCAUAGCUGUAGCAUAGGUUGCAACUCUGGCUCAGAUUUGAUCUCUGGCCCAGGAACUCCAUAUGCCACAGGGCAG